AAGACACGGAAACUUUUUUUUUCAAAAAAUCGACGCUUGUUGAAGGUGAAGCUUGUAAAUAGAACAAUCCCUUCUGUCGUGUAUCCUCGAUUAAUGCAACCUCAGAUGCUAUGUUUCAACUGUCGAUUCUAGUAUUAAGCGAAAGGUUACGCCUAGAGGUUUUGUAUUAUGGGUUAAUCCUAUUCCAUUAGUACUAAUAGGCAGCAUAGGGGAAGAAGCACUACUCCUAGGAAUCAACAACACGAAAACUUUGUUAUAAAUUACCCCCUUCCUUAUCGGG
rnacentral:lncRNA from 1 species